UCCAUUGCAGAUGACAGUUCGUUGUAAACAAUCCGAGAAAAGUUUUUCGAGCAAAAUAAAUAUUUAACAAAUUACCUACCUAUAUCCAAUUUAAGCAAGUUAAUUUGUUAAAAAUGGUCUACACAAUAGUGGUUCUGAGAUACAAGUGUAUUAUGCAGCGAACGAGAUGAUGAACGACCUCAUCGUGACCUAGCUCCACCAAAGGUGGUUCCGGCGCGCCGGGAUGUAUAGGAACUGCAAAAUGCGAAAGCUUUGAAUUCAUUUUUAGACCAGGACCUCGACCAGGUCAGUCCACCGGGUGGAGUCCGACAAGAAUUGUGCAAGUCAGUGCCGCUAAAACAGAAAAAUAAUCAUUGGCACGACACGAGUUAGCUGUACUGGGAUCAGCAAGUUUCAGUUCCUGGCAAUCGCUGGCAUUAAAUUAAAAUUUCGCUCGCUCCGUCGGGUGAAUUCAAAAGAAGUUGCCCUUGGACUGGCUCUCGAAGAGGUUGAAUUUCUAUUAUAAAAUCAACACGCAACCGUCCUUUGAUGAGCUGUCCUACCUGCCGCGUCAGGUCGAAAGUCAGAAGGAGAAGCAGUUGUCGUUUUGAAAGUAUUCGCUUAUAGUUAUUUAAGGAUGUGCUAGUUAGAAAGAUGAGCCGGUGCCACAUAUGGGGCGCUGUUUGCCAAACUCGAUAUGGAACUAUGCGACCAAAGACAAGUUUGUCAUCGUGGUGAAUUGUGCACACCCGGCAAAGAAUCUGUUUGUGAAGAUGCUCCGAUAUUCAUUACUGUGCUCGACCUUGCUCGUCGAAGUAGUUCUGAAAAUGUUCACAGUUGAGGCUCGCAGAGGAAACUGAGCAAGUUUGUAAGCCCAGCAAGCGGGAGCCUAUAGGCCGCCAGCAUGUUCAUCAAAGAUUCAUUGAAUAUGAUCGAAUCCCAAGCCAAUCACCUCGAAGAAACGUUCCGCAAAGAUUGUGAGCAGCAAAGAAACCGAAUUGUAAAGCUGAUCCAAAUGCCAUUUUGAAUCGUGUUUAGAGUUAUGGAGAAAUGACCUUGAUAUGGGACAGUUUCCAAAUUUAUGGCGAAUAUGUGAGGUCUAUUUUACUGGCUAGUAAACCGUAAAAUUUAACCGAAUCAUUCUUCGAUUGAGAACUUAUAUAAGUGAUUAUAUUGUGUUUAUGUAUAUAUUAGUCGACCCGGCAAACGUUGUCCUGGUAGGCGAAAAUGCGCGUUGUGAACUGCCCAUGCAAAAUUUCCAUACGAUUCGUAAUUUUAGUUUUUCACGUUUACUCAACCUUCCUCGUAAUUUUUGCAUGAGGAAAUAUUAUAUAAACCAGUCGGGAACGAUAACGAACAUAUUUGCAGAAGGAAUGAAGAAAAUCCAUCCAGCCGUUUUCGAGUUAUUCUGAUACGAACACAUUUUUAUUAAAAGAAUGAGAUAGAUAUGUUUGAAUUUAGUGGCCGCUUUGCCCCGGCUGGAAGACUGCGAGCUCGUUUAGUUGGAAACGUGGCAGGUUCACCGACAUAGUUUCGAAACCAAUCUUUUGCUGAAUUUUAUGAUUAGGCGUAUGUGGUGAAAUAUUGUCAUGAGAAAGGGGAACCAACAUUAAAUAUGUCAUUAAUGAUAAUUAUAUUCACAAUAUUAUUAUGAUUGAUAAAUUGACAAUAAUGUAAAAGUGUGAU